UGGGAAUUGAACUCAGGACCUCUGGAA
rnacentral:piRNA from 3 species